GACGAACGCUGGCGGCGUGCUUAACACAUGCAAGUCGAGCGGUAAGGCCCUUUCGGGGGUACACGAGCGGCGAACGGGUGAGUAACACGUGGGUGACCUGCCCUCAGCUCUGGGAUAAGCCCGGGAAACUGGGUCUAAUACCGGAUAUGACUCCACGGUGCAUGUCGUGGGGUGGAAAGCCUUGUGCGGCUGAGGAUGGGCCCGCGGCCUAUCAGCUUGUUGGUGGGGUGAUGGCCACCAAGGCGACGACGGGUAGCCGGCCUGAGAGGGCGACCGGCCACACUGGGACUGAGACACGGCCCAGACUCCUACGGGA
rnacentral:rRNA from 1 species